rnacentral:rRNA from 1 species
CAGGCUGCAACUCGCCUGUAUGAAGUCGGAAUUGCUAGUAAAUCGUGGAUCAGCAUGCCACGGUGAAUACGUUCCCGGGCCUUGUACACACCGCCCGUCACACCAUGAGAGCCGGGAACACCCGAAGUCCGUAGUCUAACCUAUAUGGAGGACGCGGCCGAAGGUGGGUUUGGUAAUUGGGUGAAGUCGUAACAAGGUAUC